AUGUCGGCCCCCGGACAGCGGGCGGCGGCGCCCACGCGCACACACGCGGGCACAAAGGCCCGGGCGCCCACGCUCCGCCCUGCGGCUCGCUCCUGCCCCGCUGCCCAGGCUGCACGCACACGCUCCACCUGCGCACUCCCCGGGCUCACGGGCACGCCCGGACCCUCGGGGGCGUGCGCGCCGCCCGAGGCACCCCGAAGGUCCGCGCGCACGUGUGCACACACUCCCGCACACACACCGCACACCCGCCGUCCGCUCCCACGGCCUCCCGAGGCUUCCACGCUGACGCCGGGAGCGUGCGGGCGCAGGAUGCGCGGCCGCUCGCCUCCCGGAGGCGCCCACGCGCGCCCCCUGCGCACCCCUCCGUGCCGGGGAGUCCCGCCAGCGCCCCGCACUCCUUCCCACGCAGGCCCCGCACUCACUGUCGGCUCUGCUGCGGCUGCGGCUGCGGCUGCGGCUGCGGCUGCGGCCCAGGCACCCGCGCGGCCUCGCCGGUGCCGGCUGGGCCGCGGAGGCGGCGGCGGCGGCGGCGGCGGCAGGGGCGGAGCGGGCGGCAGCCGGAGCUGGGACCCCCCCCGCCUCCAGAAGCCCCCUCCUCCGAAGCUUAACCCCUCCCGCGCCGCGCCUCCCUCCGUGCCGCGCCCUCGCCGCCGGCGCCGUGCCCCGCGGCCCCUUACCUGCGGCCGCCCAGCCCCCAAAUUCCGUCCGGUCUCGGCAGGUGGGGGGCAGAGGAGCCCGAGGCGGGUCGCCGCCGGGUCCGGCCUGGAGUCUCAGCCCCGAGUCCUGCUUCUGCCCCGCCGGCCGGCCAGCGUGGCCAGCGGCGCGGCCCCGGCCAGGACAUCUGCCGGCUCACCUCCCCGGUCAGGCGCCGCGCUAAUCUCCCGGCAUCUCCCAGGUCCACUACGGAUCGGAAGAACCCUCCACUCGGCGUCCCUGGGGACAGCCUGGCCCUUGGGCUCAGCCCUCCUGAGGGAGUCGGCCCCGCGGGACAAAGGGGUGGGCGAGCCGCUGAAACAACCCGGAAUCGGCUGUGGUAGGGUGGGGUCCCAGUUCUGGAAAGUCAUGGCCCCCUGCCCCCACCCCUGCCCAUCCCUUGGUCCCCACCUCCGUAGCCAUCCCGACGUGGAGCUAGUGCCAGCAGCCAGCACUCCCCCACAGCCUGAACAACUAGGGCUCAGGCAGGCCUUGGCACUGCUCUCCUCUGUGUUCCCACUUGCUUCUUCAAACCCUGCUCUCUCCCCCAAAUCCUCUUGCCCGGGGUCUUCAGCUCGGACAGUGGGUGGUUUUAAGCCUGGGCUCGAAGUCUGA
rnacentral:lncRNA from 1 species